UACGUAGGGGGCAAGCGUUGUCCGGAAUUAUUGGGCGUAAAGCGCGUGUAGGCGGCUCGGUAAGCCUGCUGUGAAAGUCCAGGGCUCAACCCUGGAAUGCCGGUGGAUACUGUCGAGCUCGAGUCCGGAAGAGGCGAGUGGAAUUCCUGGUGUAGCGGUGAAAUGCGCAGAUAUCAGGAGGAACACCAAUGGCGAAGGCAGCUCGCUGGGACGGUACUGACGCUGAGACGCGAAAGCGUGGGGAGCAAACAGG
rnacentral:rRNA from 1 species